rnacentral:tRNA from 1 species
GCGUCGUUAGCUCAGAUGGUAGAGCGCCGCUCCUACAAAGCGGAUGUCGUCUGUUCGAUCCAGACAUGACGCACCA